rnacentral:rRNA from 1 species
GACGAACGCUGGCGGCGUGCCUAAUACAUGCAAGUAGAACGCUGAAGGAGGAGCUUGCUUCUCUGGAUGAGUUGCGAACGGGUGAGUAACGCGUAGGUAACCUGCCUGGUAGCGGGGGAUAACUAUUGGAAACGAUAGCUAAUACCGCAUAAGAGUAGAUGUCGCAUGACAUUUGCUUAAAAGGUGCAAUUGCAUCACUACCAGAUGGACCUGCGUUGUAUUAGCUAGUUGGUGAGGUAACGGCUCACCAAGGCACGAUACAUAGCCGACCUGAGAGGGUGAUCGGCCACACUGGGACUGAGACACGGCCCAGACUCCUACGGGAGGCAGCAGUAGGGAAUCUUCGGCAAUGGACGGAAGUCUGACCGAGCAACGCCGCGUGAGUGAAGAAGGUUUUCGGAUCGUAAAGCUCUGUUGUAAGAGAAGAACGAGUGUGAGAGUGGAAAGUUCACACUGUGACGGUAUCUUACCAGAAAGGGACGGCUAACUACGUG